CCUACGGGAGGCAGCAGUGGGGAAUAUUGGGCAAUGGGCGCAAGCCUGACCCAGCAACGCCGCGUGAAGGAAGAAGGCUUUCGGGUUGUAAACUUCUUUUAUCAGGGACGAAGCAAGUGACGGUACCCGAAGAAAAAGCAUCGGCUAACUCCGUGCCAGCAGCCGCGGUAAUACGGAGGAUGCGAGCGUUAUCCGGAUUUAUUGGGUUUAAAGGGUGCGUAGGCGGAAGGUUAAGUCAGCGGUCAAAUGUCGGUGCUCAACACCGGCCUGCCGUUGAAAAUGGUCUUCUUGAGUGAGCGAGAAGUAUGCGGAAUGCGUGGUGUAGCGGUGAAAUGCAUAGAUAUCACGCAGAACUCCGAUUGCGAAGGCAGCAUACCGGCGCUCAACUGACGCUGAGGCACGAAAGCGUGGGGAUCGAACAGGAUUAGAUACCCCAGUAGUC
rnacentral:rRNA from 1 species